CACCGGUAGCAUCCACAGACUCAUACCCACCGGUAGCAUCCACAGCCUCAUACCCACCGCCUCCCACAGCUUACCCACCCCAUCCCUCACAUUCAUCUCCCUAUCCACAACACUCCUACCCUGCAUCAUCUCCCUAUCCACCCUCCUCGUAUCCUCCUCCACAUUCCUAUCCGCCUGCUUCAACUUAUCCACCAUCUUCGUAUCCACCGCCUACUGGUUACACUCCUGGUAACUAUUUCUCUUCUCCUAAUUCAUGUCCACUGCUUACUCACUGCUACUCUGCUCUUUCUACCACCAUAUUUUCUUCUUGUCAUGUUUUUCUCCCUCAUAACUACAAACUCGAUCUUUAUUCAGGAAUAUACCCUCCACCGCCAUACUGACGAGGAUCUUCUACAUUUGCAACCAAGGAUGCAACGUAACGUGGCUUGUACAUCACUUUGUAACCCUAUCCCAGCUUUACUUGUUAUCAGAAACCUUGUUUUUGUUUUGUUUCUUAUAUUUAUUCCAUACAUUUAUUUUGUCACGGGUUUAUCAUAUAUAAAACUCUAGCCAAGGUUUGUCAAUUGUGAUGCUCCAUAUCCAACGCUGUUGCAUAUAAGUUUCUCUUCAAUUGCUACCGAUAAAUGGGAUCAUGCCAAAAAGUAAGGGCUAUAAUAGCCCAAUCCCCAAUUCUCUCAAACCCCAUUUCCAAUGACCUUCGUAACUGACAAUGGCAAGUGCCGCCGGCAUUGGCUCUCCGCGAAUCACCACCUUCCAUCUCUUCCAAAAGGCUUAGACCGUCAGCAACGUCGAAAACCACACGCACUCCGUGUUAUCCUCAAGUAGUCGUUUCCAGAAUUUCCAAAUAUCCCACUCACUUCUCGGAGUGGAAAGCUUGAACCUCAAGGUUUUAACUUUUUUUGGUUGCUGUUUUGCAUCGUCCAUGGCGUAGAGAAGGAUCCCUUCUUUAAUGGAAUGUUUUUCUUUCAAUAGAACUUGAAAAACAGACCAUGAAAGAAAAACAUUCCACGGAAGAGGCACAAGGGAAAUGGAUGGCAUGCUGACAAAAGGGCAGAUCAAUGGGGAGGGAGACCAAUCUUAAAAUUUGUUUUAAAAAAAUAAAAAAUUUCUGAAUUUCAUAAUUGAAAAAAAAAGGUAAAUAAGAAAUUUUAUAUUUAUGAAGGCAUAAAAGAUAAGUAUGAAUGUAAAUGAAGAAAUAGCUACUAGAUAAAUCUCACAUUAAGAUCCAUUUUGUUAAUGUUGUGAAGCCACUAACAAUGUUCUUUUGGUAGUUUUCUAGCAUGUUUACAGAAGAAAAAUAAUAUUAUAUGAUAUGCCAACGGAAAUAUCAGUAAUUAUUUCGUGGAGAUUAGAAAUAUUAUUUUUAUAAACUGUAAUCAUCACUGAAAUAAUUAUGUAUGAAUAAGAAAUACAUCAUGUAUCGGUUGUCCUGCAGUUCACGGGUGAUUGCAUCUGCCUUACAUAUCAAGUAAUCCGAGUCGCAAAACUGCGUUGCUAAAAUAUUUAAAUUUAAAAUUCAUUAUACAUUUUGACUGUAAUAAUUAUAUAGAAGAUAUAUAUAUAUAUAUAUAUAUAUAUAUAUAUAUAUAUAUAUAUAUAUAUAUAUAUAUAUAUAUAUAUAUAUAUAUAUAUAUAUAUACAGUGAUAACACUUUUCAUAAAUGUUAGUUAUUUAUUAUACAUCGACGAUUAAAAUUACUGGUUCGUAUAUUUUUUAAAAACUUAAACUGAACCAUAAUAGAUAUGAAGUGGAGAGAAACUUGCACUCAACAUUUUCUCUUUUUUCUAUAAAGUAAAUCGUAACACUGUACAUGGGAAAGAAACAUAUACGAUGACUAUUUUCCCCUCUUUUCUCAUGAAAGAUACAAUCGAUUAUACUACUGGUUGCAGUUCAGUGCAAAGCAUUCUUUUUAUUUAUGCACACUACGUAAGUAAACGUUUUAUAAGUUUGACCAUUCUGAUACGAAAUGGAUGAAGCAUGCACAAAGCAUAACAUUCCAGGAGUAAGAUUGACCAACUGAUAUUCUAGUAAACAGUUAACAAGCAACAAUAUGGAUACAACCUUACCCAGUGAAGCAGUGACCAACCCCUUUGAACGUCUAGGACAUCCAAGGACAAGUGCCCAAUACCUUCUUUGUAGUAUUCUCUUCUCUUCGCCAAUCUAUUUAAGAUCAAACAGCUAAAAAUCAAGAAAAGCAAUGAAAUGGACAUGCCCUAGAUGUUUUCUCCCGAAAGAUGGAAUGCAGAACUGUAGUACUUGUCUGUGUUCUUCCCAUCACCAGUAGGCCAGAACAGUCUCUGUCUAAUCUAUGCACCUAAAAACAAUUUCGUUCAAGUAUCAGCCUAAUAUCUAGUUCAUGCCUCAUAUAUCCAAACAACCAUCAAUCAUAUUGGCACAGGAGUAAAGCACAAGGCAAAUAAUCCCACUAAUUCCAUUUUAGUUAAGUUCAAGCUUUGUAAUGAUUAUAACAGAUGAAACGGUAUUUGAUAGAAGAAUAAUAAAUAAUAAUGUUUACCACUUUCUUUUACGAAGAUACCACUAGGAUUUUUCUAUCUGUCAAGUCUUGAGUAUACGAACAAUUAAAGUUUAUCUAAUGAUAAAAUUAAAAAAAAAUCCUGGAAUUUUCAUUAGAUGUGUUGUUUACAAUUCCUGAUACUUCUUCUAAAAGGGCAUAAAAAAUCUGUAAUUGAACACUGGUGCAGGAAACAGUAUAUUGCUUCACAGAGGAAAAAGGCCUUCAUCGUUUCAUGGGUUCUUAAAUACUUAUAUUUUUUCCAUUAUAACAAAACCAAUGCAAAAAAUUUGAGCAGUAAGUUGAGUGCAAGGUCUUCUAGAGUUCUUCCCUCCCAGGACACAAACAGCUAGAGCCAGUUGUCAUGUGAAAUCAUUAGCAAAAGAACAAUAAGCUGAAAAUCAGUUUGCAUUUGCCAAACACUCUAUUUAAACCUUUUUUGUCGUCAUAAUAGAUUAAAUAACAUGCUGCGGAAGAAACGAAGAUAAAUGCAAUUGUAAACAGUUUAGUACUAGAAAAGGCAUGACAUAGUGAAUGAAAAAGAAGAGAUUGCACGAGUACAGAUACGAUAAAGAUAAUAAAGAGCUUACCAGACGAGGGGGUUCAGAGUAUUCAUAAUUUAAACAUGCAGCAGCUACCGCAUCUAAACUGUGUGUUGCCCAUGGGACUUUGAGUGAGAAAUAAAAACAAACACUUGGGUGGCAUUGCAUGGAAACAUCAACUGCAGCAUAACCCUUUCAGCUUAUCCGCAACAGAUUUAUCAAUGAAAUACUGCCAUGGAAAUGAGUAGAGAAAAUUAGAUGCGGAAUCAAUGAAAACAGUAUAUAUAUUGCAGGAAAAGGGAAUAAAGGAACCUUGUGAAGAACCCAGAGAGAGUGAUCGUAGGUGCGUUGACAGAGGUGAGAGACUUCAGAAGGAUCGAUUCACGGUAAUUGACAAAGUUCUCGCGGGCAUACUUGGCGUUCUACUUUGCUUACUUUAUCGGUGACUCUGGGUGGGAGUAACGGUUGAAGGGUGGCUGCGAUGGAAGCGGAAGCGCGUAGAAGUUCGGACUUGAAGAUUAGGUUCGGAGAAGAAGGUGGGAAGCACUGGACUGAUGCGCUUCCCAUUGGCAAUGGACGCCUCGGAGCCAUGAUCUGCGGCCGCCUCCAUUCCGAAACCAUCCACCUCAACGGUAGUCUUCAUCUUCAUCCUCAUCUUCACCGAUUGCCAUUCAGACUGCACAAUCAAUGCAUGUUUGUAUGCUUUAUUGUUUUGCUUCAGAGGACACGCUCUGGACCGGAACACCCGCGGACUACACUAAUUCUAAAGCUCCACAAGCCCUUUCUCUGGUUAGAAACCUCGUUAACCGUCAACAAUAUCCACAAGCCACUGCUGCUGCUUCUGCCUUAACAGGAUCAAAUCCAUCCGAGGUAUGUAACACCCUUUUCUUUCCCAUUUCCCUUUCAGAUUUGCCCCUCAUUCUCGUGUGAAUUAUGAUGCCCAGGCCUACCAACUUCUCGCCGAUAUCAAAUUGGACUUCGAUUAUUCACAUCUCACCGGCGCUCAACAAACUUACCAGAGGGAGCUGGACUUGGAUACUGCUACUGUCAAGGUCAGCUAUUCCGUUGGAGAUGUUCAGUUCAAAAGGGAGCAUUUUGCCUCCUAUCCAGAUCAAGUCAUUUUGUUUCCUCCUCUCCUUCAGUGGCCCAUUCACAUCACCUUCAGAUUCUAAAAGGGAUCCUACUUCUGAGUGUUUCAGUGUAUUGAGCUCAAUAAGCAAUGUAUCAUUUUCUGACCUCUAUCUUGUAAAAUAUUAUUAUUUUAUUGCAAUAGAAAGUUCUCCAACGUCUAUAAAAUUUAAACUUUUGCAACGUUCAUUCCAACGGUCAUAAUGCAACGUUCAUUCCAACGGUAUUGAAAUUUUGCAACGGUCCUUUUUUUUUAUGUCUAUAAAUAUAACAUCCAUUUCAUUCAUUCCAAGUGCAGCACAAAAAACUCAUUUUCAAUCUCUAUUUUCUCUCUUGAUAUCCUACCUUCUAUCUUAUUCUCUAAAUCUGAUAUCCCCUCGUAUAGAGUUUCCUCCGUUCUCCUCUCCUCACAUCUCAUCCCUCUUUCUUCCUUCUUCGGGAUUCAGCUGGCACAAGGUUCUCUCUCAAGGCUUCGACGACUCUGCUUGGCCACUUUAGACCAAAUCUGGCAGCGCACCUCAUUCCACGCGUCCUCUCUUUUCCCAACUUUGAUUGACAUUUCCUUGCGCAGAUACUCUGGCAAAGUCAAAGUCAUUCCGCAUUAUGAAAUUGCAAAUCAAAAGGUAUGUCACUACCUUUUCAUUAGUUUUUCAGAAUUAGGUCAUUAGUGUGUGUGGACUCUAGUGUUUAUAUGAGGUUAUUAUUAUUGCAGCAUAAAUCAGGCUCCGGCCACGCUCCAUCUGCACCUCCCUAUAUGUCAAAAUCAACUCCUCCAUUCCCUUCUUAUCCUAAUCCUUCUCUAGCAUCCUCCUACCCACCACCUCCUCAUUCUACUUCCUCCUAUCCACCACAUCCCUCUGCAACUCCUUACCACCAUACAACUGGAUCACACCCACCGGUGGCAUCCACAGCCUCAUACCCACCGGUAGCAUCCACAGCCUCAUACCCACCNCCUCCCACAGCUUACCCACCCCAUCCCUCACAUUCAUCUCCCUAUCCACAACACUCCUACCCUGCAUCAUCUCCCUAUCCACCCUCCUCGUAUCCUCCUCCACAUUCCUAUCCGCCUGCUUCAACUUAUCCACCGCCUACAGGUUACACUCCUGGUAACUAUUUCUCUUCUCCUAAUUCAUGUCCACUGCUUACUCACUGCUACUCUGCUCUGCUCUUUCUACCACCAUAUUUUCUUCUUGUCAUGUUUUUCUCCCUCAUAACCACAAACUCUAUCUUUAUUCAGGAAUAUACCCUCCACCGCCAUACUGGCUUGUACAUCACUUUAUAACCCUAUCCCAGCUUUACUUGUUAUCAGAAACCCUGUUUUUGUUUUGUUUCUUAUAUUUUUGCUUUAAGUAGUCUUUAUUCCAUACAUUUAUUUAGUCACGGGUUUAUUUAGCAAAGGUUUGUCAAUUGUGAGGCUCCAUAUCCAACGCUGUUGCAUAUAAGUUUCUCUUCAAUUGCUACCGAUAAAAGGGAUCAUGCCAAAAAGUAAGGGCUACAAUAUCCCAAUCCCCAAUUCUCUCAAACCUCAUUGGCUCUCCGCGAAUAACCACCUUCCAUCUCUUCAAAGGGUUUAGACCGUCAGCAACGUCGAAAAACAACACACGCACUCCGUGUUAUCCUCAAGUAGUCGUUUUCA
rnacentral:lncRNA from 1 species